rnacentral:rRNA from 1 species
AAGCAGCGGAGCAUGUGGUUUAAUUCGAAGCAACGCGAAGAACCUUACCAAGGCUUGACAUCCUCUGACCGCCAUGGAAACAUGGUUUCCCUUCGGGGCAGAGAGACAGGUGGUGCAUGGUUGUCGUCAGCUCGUGUCGUGAGAUGUUGGGUUAAGUCCCGCAACGAGCGCAACCCUUAUCAUUAGUUGCCAGCAUUUAAGGUGGGGAACUCUAAUGAGACUGCCGGGGAUAACUCGGAGGAAGGUGGGGACGACGUCAAAUCAUCAUGCCCCUUAUGUCUUGGGCUACACACGUGCUACAAUGGCCGGUACAAAGGGCUGCGAUACCGCAAGGUGGAGCGAAUCCCAAAAAGCCGGCCUCAGUUCGGAUCGUGGGCUGCAACCCGCCCACGUGAAGCCGGAGUUGCUAGUAAUCGCGAAUCAGCAUGUCGCGGUGAAUGCGUUCCCGGGUCUU